CUUGUUGACAAACAAAACAUGCGGAAAAGAAAGGGAAAUACUAUGAUCGAUUGUUUGCUUUCUCUCCAAGAAACUCACGAAACUCAACAUGACUAUUACACGGAUAUCGUCAUCAAGGGAUUCGUAGUCGUAACUCGUUGUGUGUAAAGCUCGUCCCAUUGUCCCAAACAUUCUCGACGCUUCCAUUUGAGAUUAAAAUCGCUGAUGUUUUCAGUUGUAUUUGAAACUUCAUAUGUAUUUGCUUCAUCCCCAACGUACUUUUCGUUUCUUAUUUAUGGUUUUUGGUUUUAUUAUUACUAGACAAUGAAUUCUCAACCUUUAUGUCCAGUAAUGGUCGUGUAGACUAAAUCAAACAGUAAUAAGCACAUAAAAGUGUAUAUUAUUACAGAAAACAAACAUAAAUAUACAUGGUACAUGCCAAGAAGGUUACUGAAAGAGUGAUACAGACUAACUGGAUGUAAAUAAACA